rnacentral:lncRNA from 1 species
CUGAUCCAAGACGCCAAGUGCUCAUCCUCGUCUCCAAUCCCAAAAAGUGGUUGAUGGCACGAACAAUCACUGGUGGUAGCUGGUACUAGGACUUGCAUCACGAAACAGAUGCAGAGUGCAACAUGAGUACCAAAACAAAGGUACUCACUAGGCAUCAUAGGUCGUCUGAGCAAGAAAGGUAAAGACAAUAUGAAAAGAUAGAAUCUAGACACAAACAUAGGUCAAAGCGGAUAAGAAAAAGAGCACACUAGCAUACCGAAGUAAAUCUAAGUACAACUAAACUAAACCUAACUUGACCUCAUAAGCCCAGAAGGUACACUCGUUCGCAAGUUUAAAUUCAUAAUCCCAACAUGUACACAAAAUAACUAAGUUUACUGGGAGAAGAGUACCACAGAUUUGAACUCAAGCGAAAAUCAAGCUCCCAGCCCAAGUAAAUCACAAAUACCCAAUAAUUCAGUUAACUCCCAGCCCAACUAGCAAGAGUGACCCGGGGGCAUGUCAACUCCGAAGAGGAUCUCAAUAUAUGAAGGCCGCUCAGCCAGCUAGUCUGUUCCUGAGGCAUAAGCCGCCUAGCUAGUAAGAGUGACCCAGGGGCAUAUCUACUUCGAAGAGGAUCUCAACAAUCAAUACCAACCCACCGUUGAACAACACCCACUCACAAGGAAUCACAAGAAGGCAACAUGACCCGGGGGCAUGUCGACUUCGAAGAGGAUCUCAACAAUCAAUACCAAGCCACCGUUGAACAACGUCCACUCACAAGGAAACACAAGAACACUCCAAGCCUAAAACACUCCAAUCCCAAGUCACCGCGAAAGCAUAAAACCUCCAGUAAUGCAUCAGAGUCGCAUAAAUAGGGAGAGAGAAUAGAAGAUCAAUAAGGCUGCGGAAACACCUAAACUAAGGCUCAUACUAUUAGAUUCAAGUCUACUAAUCUAGUCUAUAGGAAUCUAGCCCAUUGGAACUGACAUCAGAGAAGAAACAAGGCUAACAUGCCACAAGGAUUGCAAGUCUAAGGCAACACUAGUCUAAUCCUAGACUAAAACCGAACAUGCAGAAAAACCAAUAAAACGACAACAGUCAAGUCACAACAACAUGGAACAACAUACAAUCCCCAACUAGCAUGAUACUACACCCAAAAAUACCGCCAGUCAAGCCUAAGCAUGGUAUCUAAGAGAGGAAUAUAAGAACAACUAGGUACCAAUCCCCAAUUCACUCUAAUCAACAUGCAUUCACGCAUUCAGGCUCAAUCUAAUAGAAAGGAAGUCGUAGCCUCCUUGUAGGCGUUGACGCGUGCUCCCGAAUCACAAGGUUUGAGUUUUUCUUUUUCAAAUGGCCUCUGAAUGUUGCCACACUACCAAAUAUAGGAUCACAAUGUCAAUACGGCCGUUUAGACACCAAAAACAGAAACAAAUCAAUUUCGGAGUCAAACGGGAAUUGUGGGACCUGCAUCAAAAUUUUUGAAACCGACUCCGUCAAAAUGUCCCAAAAAGUUCCCCGAACUUGUGUUCCUAAAUGGAUAAUUUCAAAAAAAAAAAACUUGUGUUCCUAAAUGGAACACAAUCAGGACUUAGAAAUGAAAGCAAGCAGCAUGCAACAAUUCACAAUUAAGAGCAAGAAAAUAGGCUAAGGCAGCCUACUAAAAUGGAAAUUCACCUCAAAAGAACAAUUCCCACCUAACUUCGAUUAUUCCAUAGUGUAGCCACAGUCUCCACGAUCACCCAAGACUUCAAAUUAUUGAAAUCAGAGCUCAAACGAAGGAGCAAUCUCCAAAUCAAUUUACCACAAAUGCUGAAAAUCGCGCCUGAGUCUUUAAUAAAAGACUGCCCGACCUUCGCUUAAGCAGCCACUUACGUCGCUU